rnacentral:rRNA from 1 species
AUACGGAGGAUCCGAGCGUUAUCCGGAUUUAUUGGGUUUAAAGGGAGCGUAGGCGGACGCUUAAGUCAGUUGUGAAAGUUUGCGGCUCAACCGUAAAAUUGCAGUUGAUACUGGGUGUCUUGAGUACAGGAGAGGCAGGCGGGAAUCGUGGUGUAGCGGUGAAAUGCCUAGAUAUCACGAAGAACUCGGAUUGCCGAGGACACCGGCUGGACUGUAACUGGCGCUGAUGCUCGAAAGUGUGGGUAUCAAACAGGAUUAGAUGCCCUGGUAGUCCACGCAGUAAACGAUGAAUACAUGUUUUCGGCGAUAUAAUGUAGGUGGCAAAGCGAAAGCUAUAUUUAUUCCUCCUGGGGAGUACGCCGGCAACGGUGAAACUCAAAUGAAUUGACGGGG